rnacentral:misc_RNA from 1 species
UUUAUUUUUUAAAUGUUUAUAUUAUUUGAAUAGUUUUAUUCAAAUAAUAUAAAAAAUAAUAUAUAUAUUGACAUGGAUUAAACAAAGAUAUAUAUUAUUCUAUGUUGUAUAAACAAAUUGGCAAAAUAGAGAUGGAAGAUAAAAAUAUGGUCAAAGUAAUAAGAGUCUAUGGUGRAUGCCUAGGAGCUUUAAGGCGAAGAAGGUCGUGGUAAGCUGCGAAAAGCUUGGGGG